CUUGUUAUUUUUAAAGUUACUGAGCAGCAGAAUGAAGGGGACGCGACCAUCAGCCCAUACUGUGACGAGGGGAGGAUGGGGACCAGUGGGAUGCUUGGAGCCAUGUCCAUGCUCUCCAUCUGCCUGACGUGGGUUUGGCCAGGUGAAGCUGGAGGGCAAAUUGUGGGCACAUGAGUGAUGUUGUGUGCCCCAAGGGACAAGGACAGGGUGGUGGCCAGAGGUCAGGGCAGGCUGUGCCCAGGGCCUGAUGUGCCCAGGAAGACAGCGUCAACUCGCCUUGACCCCGAGAGCUAAGGAAUGCCAUAGGAUUAGCAAAUGACCCCACCCUCACUGAGAGUCCUGUCAAAGGCUUUUCUUUCAGGUAGAAAAAAUGGUGGUUGGGGCAUCACCAGCUGUCAGAUGCACAAAAGGAAAGUCUGAAACAGCCAGGAGACAAUAAAUAGGAAUUAUUAUUACAAGGGUGACAGCUACUGUUUAAGUUUACGGAUUAUUGCUAAGUGUUUGACAAUAAGCUAAGUGCCAGCCACCUCCCUUCCUGAUUAUUCACUGCUACUCAGGAAGGGUCUCUCAGUUAUUCCCAUUUUACAGGUAGGCAAAGAAAGGCGUGGGGACAUCAAAUGACCCGCAGAGAACAGGUGAAACCCACACUUCACUCUCUGCGACCCAGGCUAUGCAGGGCUCCCAAGAAAGCGUCAUGAAGGAACUGGAGGGGCCCACCCACCUCAGUUCACCCCCAAAUUCUGAGGGGAACUUUUCACCCCCCCAGUGGUAUCGCCCAGCUGACUGGGGCCGGUGCUGUGGGAUGGUGUCACUGUGGGGUCUCCAGAUGCAGGGCCAGGACUUCUUCCACCCUGAUUCCCACCUUUGUUGAGCCCCCCAGCCCAUGCUGGGCCCUUGGCGACUCGUUUCAGAUGACCCACAGCGCUAGGUGAGGCGAACUGGGGAGCUACAGUGGCUUUCCUGCCAGCCUCCUUUGGUCACCUGGCACCUGCCCGCCUGAAGCAAGGGAAUGGAGGCCAGCCAAUAUCCAGGGGGCGGGGCAGUGGGCGGGGAAUCCUGUCAGACCAGAUGAAAGCUAUUUUAAUUAACCUCAGGUCUGGGGAGGGGCACCCUGCUUUAACAGAGACUUAGAAACAAGGGAGAGACCCUUGGGAACCCACAGGCUUAACUGCCAGGAUGGAGGCAAAGAAGGCUCAACCCACUGGCCAGCCAGGGACCUUUGUGCUGCCAUUACUGAAGCCCGAGAGCCUGUGCUCUACAACGGGAGAGGAUGCCGCCGUGAGAAGCCUGCUGCAACAUACAGUAGCCCCUGCUUGCCACAACUAGAAAAAGCCUGAACAGCAACCUAGCGCAGCCAAAAAAAUAAAUUAAAAAUUUAAAAUAAUAGUAAUUUUAAAAAAGAGAGGAAGAGGGGAUGAACAAACGGGCCAGAGCAUAGAGCAUUUUUAGGGCAUUGAAACUAUUCCAUAUGACACCAUAUAGUGGAUAUGUGGCCCUAUACAUUGUCAAAAAGAGACAUAGAAUAUGCAACUCCAAGAGGGAACCCUAAUGUAAAUGAAGUACUUUGGGUGGUAAUGACACGCCAAUGUGACAAUCGAUUGUAACAAAUGUACCUCCCAGUGUGGGAUGUUGAUGGUGGGGGAGAGGCUCUGUGUGGGAGACAGCAGGGAACACAUGGUAAAUCUCUAUACUUUCCACUCUAUUUUGCUGUGAACCUAAAACUGCUCUGGAGAAAUAAAGUGUAUUAAAAAAUGGUUACGUGUAUUAAAAAAUGGUAUAUUAAAAAACUGUUCAUUAUAGCUUCAUCCAUGACAUCCCCAAACUGGAAACAAUGCAAAUGCCCAUCAGCCCUAGGGAGGUACAAUGAAUGGUGGAGGAAGGCACCUAGUGGAAUACCAUGCAGCCACAAAAAACCUGAUAAGCCGCUGCUACAUGUAACACUGAUGAAUCUUAAGAUCAUAAGGCUGGGACUGGGGGAGAGAUAAAUUAGGAGUUGGGGAUUAGCAGAUAUAAACUACUAUAUAAAAAACAGAUCAACAACAAGAUCCUAUUGUAUAGCACAGGGAACUAAAUUCAACAUCCUAUAUAAACUACAGUGGGAAAGAAUUAUGAAAAAGAAUAUGCAUAUAUGUAUAACUGAAUCACUUGUCUGUACAUCAGAAGCAAGCUAACAACACUGUAAAUACACUACACUUCAAUUAAAAAAAAUUAUGCUGAGUGAAAGAUGAGGUAUACCAAACAGCACAUACUACAUGAUUUUAUCUGUAUUGAAUUCAAGAACAGGCAAGACUGAUCUUUGCUCUUAGAAGUCCGAGUAGUGACUGCCCUUGGGAUGGCCAGUCACUGAUGGGGGACAUGUGGUGGUGGUGGUGGGGGUUGGGAUGUUCUGUUUUGGGAUCUGAGUGCUGGUUACGUGGGUGUGUCUAGUUUGUGAAAAUUCACCAAACUGUACACUUAAUGAUUUGUGCCCUUUUGUACAUGUGUGCUGGCAGUUCAAAUGAAUAUGUAUAGACACAUAUCUAUACAUGCAUACAAUAUAUAUAUACAUAUACAUACACGUACACACACACACAUCACUCUGGAAUCCAAAGGAUGGGUGUUCUCCUUUUUUUGGCCAUGCUGCGAGGCUUGUGGCAUUUUAGUUCCCUGACCAGGGAUUGAACCCUGUGAUAGUGCAGAGUCCUAACCACUAGACCACCAGAGAAUUCCCCAGUUGGAUGUUCUAAUUCUGCUUCUGCAUCCACCUGGUUUAUGUCCCUAUGCAGGACCCUGAACCUCACUGAGCCUCUGUUUCCUCAUCUGUAAGAUGGGGAUAGCGGCUUCCCUGGUGGCUCAGUAGUAAAGAAUCCACCUGCCAAUGCAGGAGACCUGGGUUCAAUCCCUGGGUCAGGAAGAUCCCCUGGAGAGGGAAAUGCCAACUCACUCCAGUGUUCUUGCCUGGAAAUCCCAAGGACAGAGGAGCCUGGCAGGUUACAGUUCAUGGGGUCACAAAAGAGCUGGACAUGACUGAGCAACUAAACAACAACAAAAUUAAGGAUAAUAAUAUCUCACAAGGUCGACAGAAGUCCAAGUGAGUGCUGGCUGUGAGCACAGUGAUUCAGUGCUUACUGUUAUUAUUCUGGCUGUGGUUCCCUCUGGUGACGGAGCCCAGGUUGGGACAGAGUGGGGUUGGGGAUGCCGUUUCCAGGGCAGCGGUGGGGCAUGGGGAGGGCCAGUCUCAGCUGAGAAGAACACACUCAUCUUGCAAAAACAGCCAUAAAAGGAGCACCCUAACAAGUGAGCUGGCCGGGGUUGGGGGCUGCACAUACCAGCCUGCGUGGUGGCUGCCUGGGCAGCUGGUCUGCCCUGGGCCUGGGGAGGCUGGAGGGGGAGAAGAAGGUGCUGAGAAGGGGAAUGAAUGAAGACCUGGAGAAAUAGAUCCUCUCCUGGAGAGCAGGGCCCUUCACUAUCGCUGGGCAAUCAAGAUGGCUGUAAAACUUUAAUCAUCUGCUCAGGCCCCACAGCUCUGGGCUGGGGAGUGGGGUCCUUGAGGGGCAAACAGGUCCCUGAUAGUCAUUCUCCUACUUGGGGAAGACUGGUAGUUUUGGCAGUCCCAGGUCUGGGCCCCAGAAUCUCUGAGGUGCAAAGACCUGGCUUUCAUGCCCAAGAAGGCACCUUUAGGAAGGAACCCGGCCAGACCACACCACAUAUGAGCUGUGUGACCUCACAUGGGUCAUUCAACCUCUCUGAACCUCAUCUUCCACAUCUGUCAGAUGGGGAUAGCUGCUACCUCACAGGGUUUGUGGUGAGGACUAAACAGCUUCCCUUUGUAUAGAAUAAAAUCCAAAAUGUUGCCAGUGGCCCAAAGAUUUGGUCCCAAAUACAACCCUGGCCCUGUUCUCUAUGACCCACCCUCUUGUAGGUUUUUUGCUGUUCUGCAAGCACUCCAAGCUCAGCCCACUGCGGGGCUUUUGGGUUUACUGGGUUUAUUAAUACAAGUGUGAUUGUGACUGUAAUGUGGAAUAUUGCAUGCAUAUAAAGGAGGGAGUGUUGACGGUGUGAGCACAUGUGUGAUUUUGUGUGAAUGUGUGUUAGCAUGUAAGGCUGUGUUUGAGUGUGUGCAAGAGUGUGUGUGACUGUGGAUGUGAAUGUGACUGUGUGAGCCUGUCUGUAUACAAGAGGAAAGGAAAACAAAGUCAUCAAGAAAAUGCAGACAAAGGAUUUCCCUGGCAGUCCCGGUGUUAGGUCUCCACGCUUCCACUGCAGGGAGUGUGGGUUCGAUCCCUGGUCAGGAACUGAGAUCCUACAGGCUACACGGUAUGGUCAAAAUAUUCAUAUUGUGGUGAACAGGGAACUCAAAGGGAAGACUGUUGGGUUCAAUCCCCAUCUAUAUAUGUCCCUUACUGGGGAAGGACAUGGAGCAGGUCACUGCACCUCUCUGGGCCUCAGUUUCCCCAUGUGUGCAUGUGUGUUUAGUUGCUCAGUCGUGCUCGACUCUCUGUGACCCCAUGGACUGUAGCCCCCAGGCUCCUCUAUUCAUGGGAUUCUCCAGGCAAGAAUACUGGGGUGGCCAGCCAUUCGCUUUUCCAGGGCAUAUUCCUGACCCAGGGAUCGAACCUGCGUGUCCUGAGUUGCAGGCGGAUUCUUUACUACGUGAGCCACCAGGGAAGCCCCUUGCCCCUCUGUAACACGGUGAUAUAACAGUACCCAGCUCAAAGGUUUGCUGUAGGGAUGAAAGGAGUUAAGGUGAGUGGUAGUAGAGGUGUUAGCUCAGGUCUGGUCAAGGUGGGGCUCAGGCAACAGUUGUCAUUCAUAGUCACUGUUUAUCUGGGGAGUCUUAAAGCCCCAGAGUCUUCCUCCCCACCUCCAUACCAGCUUCAUGCUGAACCUUGGAGGGAACUCUAGUGCAGGAAAAAGUUCUACAGGUCAAGACUUCCUCCCCAGCUGUGCACCUUCGUUCUGCCAGCUCAGCAACAUGACUGCCAGCCCAGCUUCUCAGGCUUUGCAGAUUGGGACCUUGGGGGUGCACAGCGGACCAUAAUGGGGUUCCCAAGACAGAGUUAUCAAGCAAAGUGCUGUGCUGGAUGAAGCACAAGCUAGAAUCAAGACUGCUGGGAGAAACAUCAACCUCAGAUAUGCAGAUGACACCACCCUUAUGGCAGAAAGUGAAGAACUAAAGAGCCUCUUAAUGAAAGUGAAAGAGGAGAGUGAAAAAGUUGGCUUAAAACUCAACUUUCAGAAAACGAAGAUCAUGGCAUCCAGUCCCAUCACUUCAUGGCAAAUAGAUGGAGAAACAAUGGCAACAGUGACAGAGUUUAUUUUGGGGGGGCUUCAAAAUCACUGCAGAUGGUGAGUGCAGCCAUGAAAUUAAAAGAUGCUUGUUCCGUGGAAGAAAAGCUAUGACCAACCUAGACAGCAUAUUAAAAAGCAGAGACCUUACUUUGCCAACAAAGGUCCAUCUAAUCAAAGCUAUGGUUUUUCCA